GGAUUAGGGCAUUGCAGUCGUACGUGAUCCUCGCUUCGGUGAGGUGAAAGUGGCGAACGGGUGAGUAAUGCAUAGCUAACCUACCCUUGGUACGGGGAUAACCAGGAGAAAUCUUGGCUAAUACCCGAUAGGCUCGCGGGGUUGCAUGGCCCUGCGAGUAAAGAAGGCCUCUUAGCAAUGCUUUCGACCGAGGACGGGACUAUGUCCUAUCAGCUAGUUGGUAGGGUAAUGGCCUACCAAGGCAAUGACGGGUAGCCGACCUGAGAGGGUGACCGGCCACACUGGGACUGAGACACUGCCCAGACUCCUACGGGAGGCUGCAGUCGAGAAUCUUCCGCAAUGGGGGAAACCCUGACGGAGCGACGCCGCGUGCGGGAUGAAGGCCUUCGGGUUGUAAACCGCUGUCACGCAUUAAGAAGGGUCCGGCGUUAACAGCGCUGGGCUUUGACGAAGGUGCGGGAGGAAGCCACGGCUAACUCUGUGCCAGCAGCCGCGGUAAGACAGAGGUGGCGACCGUUGUUCGGAAUCACUGGGCAUAAAGCGCGCGUAGGCGGCAUGGUAAGUCGGGUGUGAAAUCCCUCGGCCCAACCGAGGAAUUGCGCUCGAAACUACCGUGCUUGAGGACAGGAGGGGAGCCUGGAAUUCCUGGUGGAGCGGUGAAAUGCGUUGAUAUCAGGAGGAACACCGGCGGCGAAGGCGAGGCUCUGGCCUGUUUCUGACGCUGAGGCGCGAAAGCUACGGGAGCAAACGGGAUGAGAACCCACGGUAUCCUAGUCCG
rnacentral:rRNA from 1 species